AAUUAAAGAGACGCUUGCUAGCUAUUGCACACGCACACGCACACACACGAGGAUUAUGAUUCGAGAUGAACGGUGGCGAUAUCUAAGGUUUCUGUUAGCAGAGGGUGCAGCCUGCUACGACGGGGAAUAAUUUCGAUGACAAUUGCAGUUUUUAUGGCUUGCACCCACGGUAAGUCGUCGUCGAGUUGUGUGUAACAGUAAAUGAAAUAUAUAAUAUUUACCACGAAAAUAGUUUCAUUUUCCAUCCACACUUUAAGAUAUUCCUAAGUAAGACCUUUUUGUCUAAUUUAACUUUUACAUUGUUAGAAACUGCAACUUAUCGCCCGGAUGUCUCGUAUAUUUUUCAUUUAAAAAUGAGCACAAGUCCUUGCAAUGUUAAUAUUCAUCCUUUUGGCUGGCUGAAAUUUUCCCUGGAUCCUCCAGUCGGUUCGAUAAAUAAUUCAGAUGGUCGCACGACUGCAAGCGAAUUGCUUAAAAUGUUCAGCUCGCGAGCAUCGCGUUCUAAUUAAUCUUGUGCAAUUUAUGAACCACGAUCCCGCGACUUUUGCACCGUUUCAUUUUAAAUUAUAAUAUUUUCUAUCGUUACUAAUUAAUCUUAUUCUCGAAACAACGAAUAAAGCUAUUUGAUAAAAUUAUAUUAUUAACAUACGGGACAUAUUCUUGAAUGAUCUAUCUUCGAACCGUUAACCAUGAAACAUGUAACAGUAUUGUCUAACACUGUAACUCCUUAACAUUCGCUGUUUAUAGUUGUAGUUGUUUUGCAUUGCAAAUUCGUGUGAGUUAGUGCAACGAUUAAACGGAUAGUGUUUACGAUGAUGAACUGUGUUUAUGCAGUAGCGACUCUAUUCAACUGUAGAUUUAUAGAUCAUUCAGUUAAUUACGCGGCGGAUGUGUAUAAACAGUGGUACGAUUAAAUAAGUGAUCUGUAUCAAUUUAUGUUUACGAAUUCGUGUAAUUAUUUACCAAUUUAUGUUUGCAUCGCUGUGUAAAUGCAGACCGUUUGUUUAAGUCUUGUUUAACUAAUUAUGGAAUUCUGUGAAUUGUUGAAAUUUUUACAAAUGAAAUCGCACAGCAAAUUCCACUACCUUUCUUUGUAAAUUCAUUUUUGAAUUCGUUACUUACUACGUUUUCUGUUUUGAUUAUCUGGCAAGGUUCAUUUGUUGGUGAAACGUUCUAUUGAAUAAGGUGGUAGCAGUGUUUCCUAUGCGUCAGAGGGCUCUUUGUAACUCUUUCCGUGCUUCCCGACACUCCGCAGCAGUACACUCUCUACUCUUUGCUUCUCUCGAAAACUCUCUAUCCUCUGAUACUUGCCAGCACCCUGCACUCUGAAACUUUUUCAUUCUCUCCAACACUCUGUACUCCUCCUCUCUGACCAUCCUCGCCACUCUUAAACUCUUCGAUUUCGUCCGACCAACCUCUGUGUCCUCCCUCUUCGAAUUUUCAAGCCUUCAAUUAACAGUUGCCGCUGAAUUUUUAACGCGAACGUUACUUUUUCUUUCUCCUUGUUGGAGAAAGACUUUAUUCUCAGGUAGAAAAAUGAACCGAGUUUUAAUUAGAACUUUCAGAUUUCUCUUAAAAUCUGUAUGUAUCAUCGUUCCAACGAUCUAUUCUUUCAGUAUAAGGUUAACGUUGAUUAAAAAAGGAGAAGCAAGUUUGAAGGUUGGAACGCGUGAACACGCGGUGUUAAGGGUGAACCACGAGGUCGUCGGGCUAAUUGUAAGUGCGAUUAACCAGCUUCACGCUUCUCUGCACUACGGUCUGUUGCACUCGAGAGAAAGGAGAGGAUAGCUUAGGGGUUGAAAAGGUUAUCAGGGAGAAGUACACCGUACGCGGACCCUUCGAAUUGUCUCUGGGGACGCGUGACCUUCGAGCAUAGUUGCAAAUUCUAAAUGCGCCCUAAUUGUCUGACAUAUUAAUAAUAAUAUCUACGUACGGUGUCUCGAAAUUAAACGCGCAAACUUCAACUGUACGAUUUUACGUUAGUGGGAGCAGAAAUUUCUGAUGCAAACGGGAAUGGACAAAAGCGUUUAAAGGAGAACGAAUAUAUGUAUAAUAAAGACGGUAAUUUAAAAUGAAAAUAUACAUAAUAUAGUUCAUAACUUGAAAUGGUAGGAAUCACUGAAACGGACUAAACUAUACGAAGCAGAACGCUUUACGAGGCGUUUCAAACUUCCAAAUGAGACUUAUGCUUUAUUCACAGAGCUAUUCGAAGAUUUCAUAAACCCUCGUUUUAUGCUUUUCAUUAGAGAACGAAGGAUAGCCACGUAGCUUUCUACGCGUUCAAACAAUUUAUAUCUGUUUUUAAAGCGUUAAAACUUUUUCAUAUAUCUAUAUUUGGUAGACACGCGUGAAUUGCGCAAACCUUAUUAACAAACUUCAAAUAUCUUUUGAAAUAUGACAUUUUUCUAACUCUUCGCCCUCAUAUUUUCCUACUGACGGAAUGCAUAAUAGAAUCCAUUUACUUUCUGCGAAUGCAUCGUAUAAAAGUCAUAAAAACUGUUUAUCAAAUGAAAGUAAAUUGUCCUAUCUAGUUGAGUAACUUUCCUUAUUACCUGAAACAUUACGUUUAACCCAAGAGAAUAUAAUUUUUGCUUAAAACCACGAAGAUGCUACGAAUAAUAAUAAUAAUUGGCGCGUCGCGUCGCAGUGAAAUUACAAGAGACUAUCAUAGAAAGACGGAUUUUAUUUAAAACCGCGCUGCAAUUUCUUGCCGCAAUCUCGAGGACGGAAUAAUAAUUGGCAAAAAUUGAGCGACGUUUCUCAUUGGUCCUCUGGCUGGUAGCAUUUCCUCUUCCUGUUGCUAGCCACCAACCUCGAAUUUCAAUCUCGCCCAACCCGAGAACGCCGUCAGGCCGUGCCGCUACAUUCGUAAUAACUUUCGCGAAAUUACGUUUGACCCGAGAUUUCGUCGUUCUCCUUGCGAACAAGUAAGUUUCAGUCUUGGUAUAUAGGUAACUGCAAAGAAGUCGAGUUACCGUUCUAAGAAGGAAAUGAAGAAAAAGCUAGGGAAAAAUGAUAGAUAUACUACUUGUAAACAGUUGGAUAACUUAUGAAACGAAUAAGGGAAAACUUAGCGAAGGGGGAUUUUCACGGGACCGAAGAAUAAGAAUCAGAAAUGAAAGUAGCUCGAACGUAAAAGUAAUAUCAUACGAGCGAGACUCCAACAGCUUCGGCUCGCUGUCUCGAGCAGAAAGCUUUAGCGCGUGCACGCGGAAUGUACAGGAGGGAAAUCUGCAGCUGCGUUUAAGAAAUCUAGGAUCCAGCUUUUUCCCAACGACGAGGUACGUUUAUGCGCCGUUGCUUUCGCAUAAAUUCCAGCAAAACCGUCGCGUCGCGUCGUCGCGCGUCGUCGCGACGAAAGGGACCCGAUCCGCACGUAGAGACAUGCAGAAGCAGAGGAGGAAUCUCUUUUUACCCUCGUCGCGCGCCACUUGCGGCUUUUCUCCCGCCCCUUUCCGACCCGCUGCUUUCCGAUAUUCGUAGAAUCGUCGACGGCGAUAAGGGAAGGGAAUCGUAUUGUUUCGUCUCGCGAAAGGAAUCGACGGAUCGUGUGUUUAUUCGGAGCAACGAUGUGUUGUCUGUAAACGUAUUUAUAUCGUUCGUUCGCCUGUAAGGGGAUACAGCGGAUGUAGGCAUAAUUGAAAAGAGGAAUGAAAGGAUCGAAUGGUGGACGCCAUGUUUAGUCAGUUCCAGAAGCUGUAGAAGGAAAUAAAAAAUAAAAUGAAAAAUAUAAAAAUAUUUGUACGCCCCAGCAUCCACCGUUUGAGAUUAAAACAGGCUUUAUAAAAUUGAAAUUUAGUAGUAGCAGUGAUACGUAUUACUCUUGAUUCGGUAGGUAUUUAACGUACAUCAUCGUUCGAAAGCUCCCAUUUUCGACAUUAAAACGAAUUUAUUUGGUGCAAUCGAAAAACUGAUAGGAUAAUUCUGGGAAUUGCGAUUCUGUAAAAUAUCGCGAUUGCCCUCUGGCCAGUACCGACAUAUCGUGUAUAGUGUAGAGAAUAAAAAAGCUAGCCUGGUUUGGUGGGAUUUUAUGCCGGUAAGUGAUAGUGGCAAUUAACCGCGAUUUACAGCGUAGUCGAAGCAACAAAUUCCCGAGGAAAACGUCGACGAACACUCAACAGUUUAUUAGGAUCGUUAGCAGAGAAGCGCAUUGCGUCGCGACCGCGUGUCACGCAAAAAGGCUAUAUAGAUAUCGAUUUUUAAUUAGCCCAAAUCCUAUUACACGGUAAUCGUUACAAAAACCAGACCAUCCAACGCGUGCUGGCUCUAAUUCAAACAUCCUCGAAUAGAUGAUAAAAAGGAAAAUUCUUCUCGAUCUUUCUUGUCCCUGGGGAUUCACUCUUAACCCCGACGAGCACAACUCCCAAAUAUCCUUAAAUUUUUACCAACUUUUACGAGCUUUUACGAGCUUUUACGAGCCAGCUCUAUCCGCUCGGAAAUUAAUUGAUACUUUGAGUAUCUACACGGUUGUUACUAAAUUUACCGCUAUACAUAUUACCUACAGAGUUGAAAUAGCUAACGUACAGAUUAAUUAAAAUUCAGACAAUGAAAAAGUAUCUCCUCCAAAUAAUUGGAUCCCGUUGCUUCCGAAGAAUCGAUCCUGGCAAGAACAGCAUCCUCAAUUUUUCUUAAUCAACAGCUCCGACGAUUGGUUGUCGAUAAAAUCGAGGCCGGGCAAAGUUUACGAGGGAGGGAACCUUUAAAAACUUUCCUACACGAAAGAAGAGCUCAGGAAAACUGCGAGGGCGUAACGGCGCGAUCAUAAAAGACACUAAAAUCCGCGAACGAAUCUCUUUGGAGCAACGUUAUCGCGAGCAGACACGCGGUCCUCGCGUUUCUCGAAUGUCGGAUCAGAGGAAAAGAAAAAAAGAUAAAAAACAGCGAGAAGGAGAAAGGAAAGAGAAAGCCAGCCUCUCCACAGGCAAGUUUUCAACGGGGCGCGACCGUUCAUCUGAAAAUGUUUAUGAAUUUUCUCCGUACCGUUGUAUUACUUGAAAUAAGCCGCUGUUAAAAGGGACGACGUUUUGUUUGUAAAUCCACCAGUGUAACCAGAAGCUUACGCCUGUACCGCGUUCUCCUCUAUCCUGCCUCGAAACGUGAAAAAAAACUGAAGCAAUCAGCACCACGUUUGAACACCCUCAAUUCGGUAACUGUUGAAUUUUUUUAAAGCAAGUAGCGAGAAAGAAUAUAACAUAAAUUAGUAAAAGUAAAAAAAAGGGAAAAGAGAAACGGGUGCACCAAAAAAGCGUAACGUCCGACGCGACGAAGGGUUUGUGAAGAGCGACGUUAUCUCAAGGGAGUGCAACGUGCAACGUGCAACGCGAGUCACCUCGUAAGAUCAUUCACGAUUCGCUAGGCUGGUGGGCGAGCAUUGCUCGCACCCAGAGAAAAACCUGGGGAGUACGGAGCACGGAGCACGGAGCACGGAGAUUAGUAUCUUCCGGUAGCUCGUGUCUAUCGAUCCGACCUGUGCUUUACGUGUACUACCAAACUGCACUUGCUUUUCUUCUUAUCUCUUCGUUGCACCAUGCUGCACCAUCUUCUUUUCCCUGCCUUUUUAACUUUCCGCAUGCAACCUUUACCGAGCAACUUUUUUAUUAUUAGAAAUUAAGAGCAUCAACUUGGCACGACCAACUAUUUAAAAGAAAAAAAAAAAUUCCAAAAUUUAGAUUUUCCGCAUGAUAGAAUCGCAAGAAAUUUUGCGUUUCGAAGUAGGAUAAUGACCCAUGGGAAUACACUCGAACAACGACUACCACUACACGUUGGCACUCUGUAAUGGGUGUAAUAAUCUAUGGGUCGACGGUUCAAUAAAACCACUGGGUGUAUAGAAGCAGUGGAUGAUAACGGGCACAAUAAUGUGUCGGUUCAUAAUAGUUCAGUAGGGCUACCGUUGUAUAGAUUCAACAUAGGUAUAGCAAGUCCACCAAUACACCGACCCAUUGUGUAACAGACAUACUAAUCUACCUGUGUACCGCAGGAACGGCAUACACAUCUAAUAUUUAAUACAGCGUAGUUUCAGGUUUCCGUUGGCACAUGAGAAUCCACGUGCAGCUUUCAGCAGCAGUUUGUUGCAGGGAACUUGCGACAAAAUAGAUUCAUUAUCGAAUAUAUUCACCGCUGGUUAACUUAUCGCAAAUUAUCAUAGAAUUCAUGAAAAUUUGAAAGGCAAACCAAGAUUCCGCGGCACAGAAUUACAAAUACCGAAUACGCAAAAGAUAAAAGGGAUGUAAAGGCAAUCUUUCGCGGGCACCUCGGUCGGGUGGUCGGCGUAUCCAGGAAUAAUUCAUAUGGUAGCCGGAUGUCUCCGAUGCUGGUGCGAAUCGUCGGUAAUAUAAAGCAAUACGCUCGAAGAGAUCCAGCGACGUGUAUGCGCGUUGCUCCAAGUGCAUUACCGCCCAGUCGAACGAAACCACAGGGGAUGGCAACUUUCCAUCGUCUUGCAAACGGCAAGGUUGUUUCCCGAUUUUCCUCGAGGUUUCACGCUUAUUCGGAUCCGCUCUCAGUGCUCGCCGCGUUUCCUACGGGAAAAGCCAGCCUCCGGGCUAUUCUCCUCCUUCCACUUUGAACGUUAGCCUCUGAACAGCCGCGAACCGACCGCUUUCCCUCCUCUCUCUUUGCAUUUCCCUUUCUUCGCAAACAUGCUCACCGUCGCGUAGCGUCGGUUUUCCGUUCAAUCAAGUGUACAGCUUUUGUUUGCCGUCGAAGGUGACGAACGACGCAAUCGGAAUAUGUACACCGAUCGCUGUUAUUCAACAACGAGUAGACGAUUAGUGGUUUUUUCGUUUUUUCGUUUUUUCGUUUUUUUAGUAUGAAUCGUUUAAGGUAACGCUCUAAUAAAAGUUUGCUACAGUCUACUAGAAGUACACUGGAACAUUACUGAUGAACCCGGUAAGAAACUGCUCCUCUUUCGGCCAGCACAAUUGCCGAGCGAAUAUCUUCCUCAACUUUCUUCCACUUGCUAUCGUUUCGCCGUUAUCGACCACCUUAAUCGCCACGAUUUCCAUUUGCAAGAACGAGCAGAGCACCGUACGAUUACCGUGGAAAAUAGAGGCAAAUUUUUUCCACCACGGUUACGUGCAAUUUCGAGAACCGUCUCUUCUCGAACGGCUACCCUGGCUGCUGCCGCGUUUCAGCCUCCGAUUCUCCUACGUUUCUUCCAGCCGUUUCCUUGGCAGCUUCGUUAUUGCCACGAUAUUUCACCGUACCGUGCCGCGCCGCACCGCGCCGAUGUAAAAGGAACCGAGCCAACCAUUUUUUGCCUCGAUUAUCAGUAAACGAGAAAAAAUUUGUCGCUGAUCGAAACAUUAGAACGAUCGUGGCGAGACGAGGGUAAGUUCUAGCCUGGAGCAGAAGAAAAUAUAGCGGUAGUCGGUAGGUAGACGAAAGCAGGAAGGUCAACAGAUGGCAGGGUAGAGGGAAAGGGAUGAAGCAAAAGGGGAAUGAAAAAAGCGGAGAGCACGAGACCGGAAAGAGAUAAAGAUUAAAAUGAUGGAAGGAAGGGCGGGCUAAGACAAAAGGUGUUGCUACCGCGACUCACAGACGAGACGGAGGUUAACGGGCAGAAGAAAAAAAGAAAAAAAGGAAAGGCGUAUUCGUUUGCGACAUGAUCGCAAGUGCUGCUUUGUAGAGAGGAGGACGUAAAUAAGACGUGAAAAUCAACAUUUUCAUAGUAGCGCUUAUUAUAAUAAAAAGGAAAGGGUUUUCUGUUACAUCCUUCGAACAUGGUCGCCAUUUAUGCGAACGAUAUCGUCUCCACUCCCCAGAUCCGGCAGACCGUUUCGCGGAGCAAACCGCACUUACGAAGCUUAAUUUUCGAAUCGGAAUCGGAUAAAAGCAAGCAUCCCUCGAUUUAAGAUAUCUCCCCGUUUUCCAACAUCAGAUCGUAUAACGGCAGUUCACCUCGUUCCUGUUUUCUUACGUUGUAACGAACAAAAUGCUGAAUCGGAGCUGGAGGUUAUCGCGCUGAUGAAGCGGGAAAGCG